UAAGAUUUGAAAGAAGGAUUUCCAGUAGAU
rnacentral:piRNA from 1 species